rnacentral:rRNA from 1 species
CAACUAGGAUGUUAGCUCAGAAGCAGCUAUCAUUCAAAGAGUGCGUAAUAGCUCACUAGUCGAGUGACCCUGCGCCGAAAAUGUACCGGGGCUAAACAUAUUACCGAAGCUUUGGAUUGAUAUUUUAUCAAUGGUAGGAGAGCGUUCUUAACCGCGAUGAAGGUAUACCGUGAGGAGUGCUGGAGCGUUAAGAAGUGAGAAUGCCGGUAUGAGUAGCGCAAGAUAAGUGAGAAUCUUAUCCACCGUAAGACUAAGGUUUCCAGGGGAAGGCUCGUCCGCCCUGGGUUAGUCGGGACCUAAGGCGAGGCCGAAAGGCGUAGUCGAUGGACAACUGGUUGAUAUUCCAGUACUAGAUAUGAUCGUGAUGGAGGGACGCAGUAGGCUAAGAGAUGCCAGUUAAUGGAUUCUGGUCUAAGCAGUGAGGUGUGAGAUGUGUCAAAUGCAUUUCUCUCUAACAUUGAGCUGUGAUGGGGAAGCAACUACGGUUGCGAACUCUCUGAUGUCACACUGCCAAGAAAAGCUUCUAGCGUAAAGUCAUAUCUACCCGUACCGCAAACCGACACAGGUAGUCGAGGCGAGUAGCCUCAGGUGAUCGAGAGAACUCUCGUUAAGGAACUCGGCAAAAUAGCCCCGUAACUUCGGGAGAAGGGGUGCUGGUGUAAAAGCCAGCCGCAGUGAAUAGGCCCAAGCAACUGUUUAUCAAAAACACAGCUCUCUGCUAAACCGCAAGGUGAUGUAUAGGGGGUGACGCCUGCCCGGUGCUGGAAGGUUAAGAGGAGUGC